rnacentral:lncRNA from 1 species
UCCACAUCCUUUCUAGCAGUUGAUAUUUUCCACCUUUUUUAACUUUAGUAAUUCUAGAGUGAGUUUUAAUUUGAGUUUUCAGUUUGCAAUUUCCUGAUGACUAAUAAAAUUACGCAUUAUUUCAUAGACUUGUUAGUUGAUUGUGAAGUGUUUAUUAAGAGUUUUUGAGUUUUAAAAGAGAGGUGAUAAUAUUUAUUUAAUUUUCAGAGACAGAGUUUUGCUUUGUUGCCGAGGCUGGUCUCGAACUUUUGGGCUCAAGUGAUCCUCCCACCUCCUAC